rnacentral:misc_RNA from 1 species
GGUUCGAUUCUGGCUCAGAUUGAACGCUGGCGGGAUGCUUACAUGCAAGUCGAACGGCAGCACGGACUUCGGUCUGGUGGCGAGUGGCGAACAGGUGAGUAAUGUAUCGGAACGUGCCUAGUAGCGGGGGAUAACUACGCGAAAGCGUAGCUAAUACCGCAUACGCCCUUCCAGGGGAAAGCGGGGGACCUUCGGGCCUCCGCACUAUUAGAGCGGCCGAUAUCGGAUUAGCUAGUUGGUGGGAGUAACGGCUCACCAAGGCGACGAUCCGUAGCUGGUUUGAGAGGACGACCAGCCACACUGGGACUGAGACACGGCCCAGACUCCUACGGGAGGCAGCAGUGGGGAAUUUUUGGACAAUGGGGGGAAACCCUGAUCCAGCCAUCCCGCGUGUGCGAUGAAGGCCUUCGGGUUGUAAGCACUUUGGCAGGAAAAACGGCACGGGAUAAUACCCCGUGCAACUGACGAUACCCGCAGAAUAAGCACCGGCUAACUACGUGCCAGCAGCCGCGGUAAUACGUAGGGUGCAAGCUGUUAAUCGGAAUUACUGGGCGUAAAGCGUGCGCAGGCGGUUCGGAAGAAAGAUGUGAAAUCCCAGGCUUAACUUUGAACUGCAUUUUUAACUACCGAGCUAGAGUGUGUCAGAGGGAGGUGGAAUUCCGCGUGUAGCAGUGAAAUGCGUAGAUAUGCGGAGGAACACCGAUGGCGAAAGAGGCAGCCUCCUGGGGGAUAACACUGACGCUCAUGCGAAAGCGUGGGGAGCAAACAAGUUAGAUACCCUGGUAGUCCACGCCUAAACGAUGUCAACUAGCUGUUGGGGCCUUCGGGCCUUGGUAGCUGUGCCGCGUGAAGUUGACCGCCUGGGGAGUACAGUCGCAAGAUUGAAGCAAAGGAAUUGACGGGGACCCGCACAAGCGGUGGAUGAUGUGGAUUAAUUCGAUGCAACGCGAAAACCUUACCUACCCUUGACAUGUCUGGAAUCCCGAAGAGAUUUGGGAGUGCUCGCAAGAGAACCGGAACACAGGUGCUGCAUGGCUGUCGUCAGCUCGUGUCGUGAGAUGUUGGGUUAAGAAUCCUGCCAAGAAGCGCAACCCUUGUCGUGGAU